rnacentral:rRNA from 1 species
CAACUGAAGAGUUUGAUCAUGGCUCAGAUUGAACGCUGGCGGCAUGGCUAAAACAUGCAAGUCGAACGUGCCCGCAAGGGCAAGUGGCGAAAGGGUUAGUAAUACGAUCGAAUGUACCCUGAGGUGGGGGAUAGGGCGGGGAAACUCGCCAUAAUACCCCAUGAUGUCGUGAGACCAAAGAUUCAUCGCCUUGGGAGCAGCGAUCGUCCUAUCAGGUAGUUGGCGGGGUAAUGGCCCACCAAGCCGAAGACGGGUAGCGGGUGUGAGAGCAUGGCCCGCAACAUCGGAACUGAGACACUGUCCGGACUCCUACGGGAGGCUGCAGUAACGAAUCUUCCGCAAUGGGCGAAAGCCUGACGGAGCAAUGCCGCGUGUGGGAUGAAGCGUCUCUGACGUGUAAACCACUGUCAGGGGUCGGAACCAAUGAUUGACCCCAAAGGAAGUGGCGACUAACUCUGUGCCAGCAGUCGCGGUAAUACAGAGGCCACAAGCGUUAGUCGGAAUCACUGGGCUUAAAGGGUGCGUAGGCGGAUCGGUAAGUGUUCUGUGAAAGCCCCCGGCUCAACCGGGGAACUGCAGGGCAUACUGCCGAUCUUGAGGCAGGUAGGGGUCGCGAGAACUGUAGGUGGAGCGGUGAAAUGCGUAGAUAUCUACAGGAAUGCCGAUGGUGAAGACGCGCGACUGGGCCUGUCCUGACGCUGAGGCACGAAAGCGUGGGGAGCAAACAGGAUUAGAUACCCUGGUAGUCCACGCCGUAAACGAUGCGCACUAGACCGGUGCGGUUUUGACGCCGUAUCGGUCGUAGUAAAAACGAUAAGUGCGCCGCCUGGGGAGUACGGUCGCAAGGCUAAAACUCAAAUGAAUUGACGGGGGCUCACACAAGCGGUGGAGCAUGUUGCUUAAUUCGAGGCAACGCGAAGAACCUUACCUGGGUUUGACAUGCAUGGAUCAACUCUAUGAAAGUAGAGCCACAGUCGCAAGACCGGAACAUGCACAGGUGCUGCAUGGCUGUCGUCAGCUCGUGCUGUGAAGUGUCAGGUUAAGUCCUUUAACGAGCGCAACCCCUAUCGUUAGUUGCUCGGCGCAAGCCAGUACUCUAGCGAGACUGCCGGUGUCAAACCGGAGGAAGGUGGGGAUGACGUCAAGUCCUCAUGGCCUUUAUAUCCAGGGUUGCAAACGUGCUACAAUGGCGCGCACAAAGCGAAGCAAGAGCGUGAGCUGGAGCAAAUCGCAAAAAACGCGCCCCAGUUCGGAUUGCAGGCUGCAACUCGCCUGCAUGAAGUCGGAAUCGCUAGUAAUCGGAGAUCAGCUACGCUCCGGUGAAUGUGUUCCUGAGCCUUGUACACACCGCCCGUCACGUCAUGGGAGCCGAAAGUGCCCGAAGUCGCUGCAUCUCAGCAGUGCCCACGGCAAGGUCGGUGACUGGGACGAAGUCGUAACAAGGUAGCCGUAGGAGAACCUGCGGCUGGAUCACCUCCUUUCU